rnacentral:rRNA from 1 species
UACGGGGGGGGCAAGCGUUGUUCGGAAUUACUGGGCGUAAAGGGCUCGUAGGUGGCCAACUAAGUCAGACGUGAAAUCCCUCGGCUUAACCGGGGAACUGCGUCUGAUACUGGAUGGCUAGAGUUUGGGAGAGGGAUGCGGAACUCCAGGUGUAGCGGUGAAAUGCGUAGAUAUCUGGAGGAACACCGGUGGCGAAGGCGGGUCUCUGGGCCGAUAUUGACGCUGAGGAGCGAAAGCGUGGGGAGCGAACAGG